AUAACCCUGAAUAAAGGCUUAAACCAAAUGAAACCCGCCCGAAUGUCUUUGGUUGGGGCGACCGCGGGGCAUUGAAAAACCCCCACGUGGAAUGGGAGCACCCCUCCUACAACUAAGAGCCACAGCUCUAGUAAACAGAAAUUCUGACCAACAAGAUCCGGCAGUGCCGAUCAACGGACCGAGUUACCAUAGGGAUAACAGCGA
rnacentral:rRNA from 1 species